UACGUAGGGGGCUAGCGUUGUCCGGAAUCAUUGGGCGUAAAGAGCGCGUAGGCGGCCAGAUAAGUCCGGUGUGAAAGUCACAGGCUCAACCUGUGAAUGCCGCUGGAAACUGUCUGGCUAGAGUCCGGGAGGGGCGAGUGGAAUUCCUGGUGUAGCGGUGAAAUGCGCAGAUAUCAGGAGGAACACCAAUGGCGAAGGCAGCUCGCUGGAACGGUACUGACGCUGAGACGCGAAAGCUAGGGGAGCAAACGGG
rnacentral:rRNA from 1 species